AACGGUCUAUACCUGCGGUACCUGCGGAAGGAUCAUUACCGAGUGAGGACCUAACCGGUCCAACCUCCCACCCGUGUCUAUCGUACCUUGUUGCUUCGGCGGGCCCGCCAUUCGUGGCCGCCGGGGGGCAUCUCGCCCCCGGGCCCGCGCCCGCCGGAGACACCAACACGAACACUGUCUGAAGGUUGCAGUCUGAGUCGAUUUAUUUAAUCGUUAAAACUUUUAACAACGGAUCUCUAG
rnacentral:misc_RNA from 1 species